rnacentral:rRNA from 1 species
AUUGAACGCUGGCGGCAGGCCUAACACAUGCAAGUCGAACGAGUGGCGGACGGGUGCGUAAUGUCUGGGAAACUGCCUGAUGGAGGGGGAUAACUACUGGAAACGGUAGCUAAUACCGCAUACCAUCGGAUGUGCCCAGAUGGGAUUUGCUAGUAGGUGGGGUAAAGGCUCACCUAGGCGACGAUCCCUAGCUGGUCUGAGAGGAUGACCGGCCACACUGGAACUGAUACACGGUCCAACCUCCUACGGGAGGCAGCAGUGGGGAAUAUUGCACAAUGGGCGCAAGCCUGACGCAGCCAUGCCGCUUGUAUGAAGAAGGCCUUCGGGUUUUAAAGUACUUUCAGCGGGGAGGCGUUACCCUAAUAAGAAGCACCGGCUAACUCCGUGCCAGCAGCCGCGGUAAUAC